rnacentral:rRNA from 1 species
GAUGAACGCUGGCGGCGUGCUUAACACAUGCAAGUCGAACGAAGCACUUGGAUCUCUUCGGAGUGAUGAGUGACUGAGUGGCGGACGGGUGAGUAACGCGUGGGUAACCUGCCUCGUACAGGGGGACAACAGUUGGAAACGACUGCUAAUACCGCAUAAGCGCACAGUAUCGCAUGAUACAGUGUGAAAAGCUGAGGCGGUACGAGAUGGACCCGCGUUGGAUUAGCUAGUUGGUGGGGUAACGGCCUACCAAGGCGACGAUCCAUAGCCGACCUGAGAGGGUGACCGGCCACAUUUGGACUGAGACACGGCCCAAACUCCUACGGGAGGCAGCAGUGGGGAAUAUUGCACAAUGGGCGAAAGCCUGAUGCAGCGACGCCGCGUGGGCGAUGAAGUAUUUCGGUAUGUAAAGCUCUAUCAGCAGGGAAGAAAAUGACGGUACCUGACUAAGAAGCUCCGGCUAAAUACGUGCCAGCCGCCGCUGUAAAAC